UAGUAAAAAUGGAUGCUGCUGUAAUAUCUGCACAGCAAGUACCUGUCCAGAUUUAUGCCCUUGACAUUUCUAAUCAUGCAUGGCCUGGCUGUGCAAAUCUGAAUUUGAUGUAGGGAUAUUUAAAAUGAGCAUUUAUUUCUGAGGCAUUUUCGUUCACAGCAGAUUCCGUUAGAUACAUAUAUUGCUUUGACUUCAUUUCCCCAUCCACUUCUUAUAUUGAAAAGAAAUAGAUUUGUCUGUUUAGAGUAGGAUCUUUAAUUGUAUUCACAACACAGGAAACCUAGGUCGAAGUUCAUGAUAUGACCUGGAAUCUGAGUCUAGUAACUGCCCCAGCCAGCUUAGUUUGGCAGAUACCAGGACUCAAGGCUGUACCAGUAUUCUUUAUGAAUUUAAUUAUUGAAAUGUGUUUAAAUUAACUUGUUUCCUACGUGAAGUUAGACCUUGAGAGGUAGUAACUGUUUAAGAGAUUGAGAGAUGGUAAUUAAGAAAACUUAGAAGGAAGGGAGAAGAAAUUGGUAUGUCUGUUUUUAGGCUCAGGGAGUUUGAUGUGAGAAUGUGUCUCCUAGUAGCUUUAGAAGCUACCCUCAUUAAAUCUCACCAACAUGACCACCCAAACCGGAGCAGAAUAAGGAUCAGACCCAUUAACAUGCCUAGCUGGAUAGAGGAAAGCAAGCCCAUGAGGCUGCAACUCUGCACAAAGACAUAGAAGCAACCCAGGAAUGCUCAGAAUGGGAGAGAUGCUCCUCUCAGGGAAGAGUACAGCAACUGGUCCAACUCCGAACCCUGACAACAUUCACAGAGGCGUAUUAUACAGACGGAAUACUUCUCUCUAGGAAUGUCUAUGUAUACACACAUAUGCAUGCGAUAACAGUAAGUGAAAAUCGAGUGAUCUGUUGAAAGUUGGGAGGGGCGUGGGAAGAAUUUGGAAUGAGAAAGGGGAAGGGAGAAAUGUAAUUAAACUAUAAUCUCAAAAAUAUUAAAGUCUACUUAAAUUAAAAGUCUAUUAAAAAUAAUGAAGUGCAUAGCUUAAAAAAUUGUUGGACUUUUGAGAAUUUACCUUCUUGCCUUCAUUUAUUUUAGUUUCCAUCAUUGCUUGUUCAACAUUGAGUCUGACUGAAACUUCCAUUGGGUAAAUCUAAGCAUAUUUGGUCUGUAAUAUUUGAAUUAAAAAUAGGCUUUUAAGAUUUUUAAACUUUUAAAGAUUAAACUCAUUUUAAUGAUUGAGAAUGUUGCUCAGUGGUGGAGUACUUGCCUGGCAUACACAUGGGCCUUGAUUUGAUCCCCAACACUUAUAAACAAAAACAUUAGUGGCUAUUCAAAUGGAAUGUUUCAAAGACUGAGGAAUUUACCCACAGAAUGUAAAACUUUAUAAAGUUACAUUUUUGAACACAGAAAAAAAAGUGCAACAGCAAGCCAUGAAAAUAUUUAUUGUGUGCAUGAGGUCCAAAUAGAGAAUUUUUUAAAAG
rnacentral:lncRNA from 1 species